rnacentral:misc_RNA from 1 species
UUUACUUGUUUGUUUUGUUACUCAGAAGUCCGCUAAAGCUUGGAGUUUGGCGCUGUCGGCGGGCGCGCAAGCGCCUAGGGAACCCCCCGGGGUCGCCCGCCGAAGCAACGAUUUGGUAUGUUCACAGGGUUGGGAGUAUAAAACUCGGUAAUGAUCCCUCCGCUGGUUCACCAACGGAGA